rnacentral:rRNA from 1 species
UAGGGAAUCUUCCGCAAUGGACGAAAGUCUGACGGAGCAACGCCGCGUGAGUGAAGAAGGAUUUCGGUUCGUAAAACUCUGUUGUUAGGGAAGAAAAAAUGUAUAGUAACUAUAUACAAAAGAGACGGUACCUAACCAGAAAGCCACGGCUAACUACGUGCCAGCAGCCGCGGUAAUACGUAGGUGGCAAGCGUUGUCCGGAAUUAUUGGGCGUAAAGCGCGCGCAGGUGGUUUAGAAAGUCUGAUGUGAAAGCCCACGGCUCAACCGUGGAGGGUCAUUGGAAACUAAUAAACUUGAGUGCAGGAGAGAAAAGUGGAAUUCCUAGUGUAGCGGUGAAAUGCGUAGAUAUUAGGAAGAACACCAGUGGCGAAGGCGACUUUCUGGACGAACACUGACGCUGAGGCGCGAAAGCCAGGGGAGCGAACGGG